CGGCCUUUAUCUCACUUGGUUAGAUCACACGCCUGAUAAGCGUGAGGUCGGUGGUUCAAGUCCACUUACGCCCCCU
rnacentral:tRNA from 1 species